UCUUUCCUCUCCCACCUAACCCAAUCCAAUCAAGCACAACACCCAACCAUUCCUUCAGAUUUCAAGAACACAAGAACAGCUAAGAAACACCACCAAACCAAAACACCACAAACCACCCAAGAUCAAAUCAAAAUGCUAACAGCUAACAUGAAAUGAAAUGGACCGGCAUGAUCAGAGAGAGAGAGAGACCACUCACCUCUCACCUCUCCUUCUCAGGAGGUGGGCUAUCCGAUGAACCAGCGCGAGACGACGGCCAUAUAUAGGGGAAGGAGGCGAGCGGUGGCGGUGGACCGGCUGAUGACUCUGCUCAGCUCGCAAGAAAAAAAAAAGGUAAGUGUUUGUUUAUCGCGACAGGCAUGUCACUCGGCGAAAUUCAGCAUCGGCACAGUCCAGGCCGGCGCUAGCCUGUCCAUGGCCGAUCAGAGCGUGUAUCAAACCACGCGACGCGACGCUGUUUGGGUUACUGCUUGCAAAUUCUCUGAAAAUUUCAUGGCGCGUCAGGCGUAUGGUCUGUCUAGAAAAAUGAGAGAAAUAUAGAAUGAAGUGAAAGUGAAAUGGCAAUGCCGAUGGAUUUUACACGUACAAGUUGACAGCAACGAGGAAAAUGACCAUCACAAGCUGUCUGAAUCAGCAUAUAGUGCGUGCAUGGCUAUUCGCUAGGAAGGAUUAUGCUGAAAGUCAAUUGCAGCGACAAGGAGAGACGAUGGCAGCGACAGGUGACACGUCUUGUGGACGCAUUCAAGCUACAACUUGGUGCAUCGUCCGAAGAUGACAUGUUUACUUGAUGCAGUCAGUAAUAUGGAUUGGUGAAUUCUUUUUACUUCUAUAUGGUUAUUAGGAUUCACUUGGUUUUUGCUUUCUGCAUUGUCCAAAGAUGACAUGUUUACUUGGUAAGCAGUCUAAUUCAGCGGUAAUUAAAGUUGAGAAUAAAGUACUAUGAUUCCUUUUAAUAAAUGAGGUAUUAAUG